rnacentral:rRNA from 1 species
CAGCAGCCGCGGUAAUACGAAGGGGGCUAGCGUUGUUCGGAUUUACUGGGCGUAAAGCGCACGUAGGCGGAUCGAUCAGUCAGGGGUGAAAUCCCAGAGCUCAACUCUGGAACUGCCUUUGAUACUGUCGAUCUGGAGUAUGGAAGAGGUGAGUGGAAUUCCGAGUGUAGAGGUGAAAUUCGUAGAUAUUCGGAGGAACACCAGUGGCGAAGGCGGCUCACUGGUCUGUAACUGACGCUGAGGAGCGAAAGCGUGGGGAGCAAACAGGAUUAGAUACCCGAGUAGUCCAUGUCUCUUAUAC